rnacentral:rRNA from 1 species
CCUACGGGAGGCUGCAGUGGGGAAUAUUGGACAAUGGGGGGAACCCUGAUCCAGCCAUGCCGCGUGUGUGAAGAAGGCCCUCGGGUUGUAAAGCACUUUCAGUGAGGAAGAACGCCUGGUGGUUAAUACCCAUCAGGAAAGACAUCACUCACAGAAGAAGCACCGGCUAACUCCGUGUCAGCAGCCGCGGUAAUACGGAGGGUGCGAGCGUUAAUCGGAAUUACUGGGCGUAAAGCGCGCGUAGGUGGCUUGAUAAGCCGGUUGUGAAAGCCCCGGGCUCAACCUGGGAACGGCAUCCGGAACUGUCAAGCUAGAGUGCAGGAGAGGAAGGUAGAAUUCCCGGUGUAGCGGUGAAAUGCGUAGAGAUCGGGAGGAAUACCAGUGGCGAAGGCGGCCUUCUGGACUGACACUGACACUGAGGUGCGAAAGCGUGGGUAGCAAACAGGAUUAGAUACCCCUGUAGUC